rnacentral:rRNA from 1 species
UACAGAGGGUGCGAGCGUUAAUCGGAAUUACUGGGCGUAAAGCGUGCGUAGACGGUUAUUUAAGUCGGGUGUGAAAGCCCCGGGCUCAACCUGGGAAUUGCAUUCGAGACUGAAUAGCUAGAGGUAGGUAGGGGAAAGUGGAAUUCCUGGUGUAGCGGUGAAAUGCGCAGAUAUCAGGAGGAACACCGGUGGCGAAGGCGGCUUUCUGGGCCUUACCUGACGCUGAGGAGCGAAAGCUGGGGGAGCGAACAGG